AUUGAAUGCUGGCGGCAUGCUUUACACAUGCAAGUCGAACGGCAGCACGGGUGCUUGCACCUGGUGGCGAGUGGCGAACGGGUGAGUAAUGCAUCGGAACGUGCCCAUGAGUGGGGGAUAGCCCGGCGAAAGCCGGAUUAAUACCGCAUACGCCCUUAGGGGGGAAANCGGGGGAUCUUCGGACCUCGCGCUAUUGGAGCGGCCGAUGUCGGAUUAGCUAGUAGGUGAGGUAAAGGCUCACCUAGGCGACGAUCCGUAGCUGGUCUGAGAGGAUGAUCAGCCACACUGGGACUGAGACACGGCCCAGACUCCUACGGGAGGCAGCAGUGGGGAAUUUUGGACAAUGGGCGCAAGCCUGAUCCAGCCAUGCCGCGUGAGUGAAGAAGGCCUCGG
rnacentral:rRNA from 1 species